ensembl:ncRNA K01A6.14 ncRNA
GGUCGACUCACCAAUGACUUAUGUCGGAAUGAGAAAUUGGGUGUAAUCUAUAUGCGCGUGAAACAUUUCGAUGCUUGUUGCGACCUUCUCCUGCUCUCUUCUUUUUUCGCUGCGCUCCGUACAUUUUAUUAUAUCACAUCCAUGUAUUGU